CACAACGGCCCGUCAAAGCCUGAUCGCUUUAGAUCUCAGAAGCUAAGCAAGGCUGGGCCCGGUUAGUGCUUGGAUGGGAGACCACUGGGAAUUCCCGAUGCCACAGCGG
rnacentral:rRNA from 1 species